CGGUAACAUAACGGCUAUAACUGCACACAAACUUCAUCGACCAAUAUCACGUUUCUCUAAUAAAACCACAACAAAUAAUUGAAAAUUAUUAACAAUUUCACAGGAACUUCUUCGCGCAAUAGCUUUAAAGGCCACCAAGGGUCUGAGGCUACAAAACUAAUUCUCUUUCAUUUCUCUCCGUCUUGAGCAUACUCCACUAGAAUUUUCAAUUGACUAUACCCUUAAUUACAUCUCGAUUUGAUCGAUCUGACUCUGUUGUAGACUUGUGGUCUUCCUGCCGGUCUCUUACCACCGUGGAUCCAGUUUAGGACAUAAUUCAUUAAUGUGUUAUUGAAUUGGACAUUAUUCCGUGGCCAAGCCAACUCGGUUCUAUCCAUCUCACGCAUUACUCUCUCUCAUAAGUUUGUUCUUUUUUUUCUUAGGUUUACAAGGACUACAUAAUUUUAAUAACAUUAAGUGUAAUUUUCUGUUGAGCUCCGCGUACCUACCUAAAUAAAUUGAUUCAACAGACUAGUAAUAGACAAAAUAUAUAUGCCUAUCAUGCGUAUCAUUUCUGUACGGCUACAACACGUUCGGGAAUUUCAUCCCGAAUCGCGACACGUUUGGGCAUUGUUUUAUUCUGAUAUCACAAUACGUUUGGGCACUCCGACU